rnacentral:rRNA from 1 species
UUGGUUCAGGAUGAACGCUAGCUACAGGCUUAACACAUGCAAGUCGAGGGGCAGCAUGGUCUUAGCUUGCUAAGACUGAUGGCGACCGGCGCGACGGGUGAGUAACGCGUAUCCAACCUGGCCCGCAGUAGGGAACAGCCCGGCGAAAGUCGGAUUAAUGCCCUAUGUCUUCCUUUGCAGGCAUCCAAUGAGGAAGAAAGAUUUAUCGCUGCGGGAUGGGGAUGCGUCUGAUUAGCUUGUCGGCGGGGUAACGGCCCACCGAGGCGACGAUCAGUAGGGGUUCUGAGAGGAAGGUCCCCCACACUGGUACUGAGACACGGACCAGACUCCUACGGGAGGCAGCAGUGAGGAAUAUUGGUCAAUGGGCGAGAGCCUGAACCAGCCAAGUAGCGUGCAAGGACGACUGCCCUAUGGGUUGUAAACUGCUUUUAUGCGGGGAUAAACUUCAGCACGUGUGCUGUUUUGCAGGUACCGCAUGAAUAAGGACCGGCUAAUUCCGUGCCAGCCGCCGC